ensembl:lncRNA
CCGGUGGAUGUGGGGUGGAUGUCGGGUGGAUGUCGGGUGGAGGGCCGGUGGAUGGCUGGUGGAUGUCGGGUGGAUGUCGGGUGGAUGUCGGGUGGAGGGCCGGUGGAUGGCCGGUGGAUGUGGGGUGGAUGUCGGGUGGAUGUGGGGUGGAUGUCGGGUGGAUGUCGGGUGGAUGUCGGGUGGAGGGCCGGUGGAUGAUGAGUCAGCAGCAACAUUACAGCUGCAGUAGCUCGUGUGUGUAACAGUAAUGAGCCUGAAGGUUUCUGAGAGGCGUUUCCAGCGUCUGAUGAUUGCAGGAGAAGAUCAGACCUUCUCGGUGGACCAGCACCUCCUUUCACUGAAGAGCUGCUCUCUAUUUCGUUUGACGGCUGUAACGUUUACCCGGUCCAACGGUUGCUGAUUGACAUUGAGAGUGAGAUGAUUAAAAUGAUUGUUAGAACUGUAAUCUUAAACUACUCAAAUGUUAUGAAUAAAAGUCGUAUUGAUAUAUUGUUAGUAUCAAUAUACAGUGUAUUUUACAGAUAUAAAAUAUAUAACUUUAGAAUCAUGUGUAAAUACUAUAGUGAUAAAAAAAUCUGUUAUUUUUUCUGCCAUGUAAAAACCUUAAAAUAAAGGAAUAAAUAGCUGAUUGAUCAGCGCUUGUCUUGAAGUUAUAUUCUCACCGUGUAGCAGUGUUGACACAUAUAAACACGUGGUAGAUACAGUGUCAGGAACGUGCAAUAUUAUGAAAGUUAUACUCCUCUUUUGUCUUAUAACAGUCACCAGUUUGGACAUUAAAGUGGCAGAAGCAUCAUUGCGUCUGUGUGUUGACUGAUUUGUUUCUUGUUCA